ACUCUCUCAUCCUCUCAUCUCCUCUACUCAGUCUCACUCUCUCCCUCCUCAAGAACGGCGACGGCGACGGUGACGGCGAGCUCCUCAAGAACGGCGACGUCGACUGCUGAUUCUUCAUCGUUGAAGCCGCUUGUUCAAGUUUCCAUCAACGAGAUCGAAGCGCUGCUUGAGCUGUAUAAGAAGUUGAGCGGCUCGAUUAUUGACGACGGCGUGAUCCACAAGGUUAGCUGGAAGUUGUUGGUUUGAAGUUGUGGAUGUUGUAGAUGAUACAUCAAAUGAGGAAGCAAUGGAGAUAAACAUACUUCGGACAAGUAUUGCAAAUCAAAUGGCAAGGGAUUAUAAUAUGCCGGAGAUUUAAUAACUUUAUGUUUCCGAUCUUUGUAAUAUUGUUUUUAAUUAUUGACUUAUUAAAGCCAAUAUUCAAAGUUGAACAAUGGACUACGUUACUUUAUUAUUCAUUUAUGGAUUGUAAUGAUGAGUUUCUCGUUAAA